GGGGGUAUAGCUCAGUAGUAGAGCAUUCGACUGCAAUAUCGACAGGUCCCCGGUUCAUACCCGGGUGCCCCUC
rnacentral:tRNA from 1 species